rnacentral:misc_RNA from 1 species
AAGCUUUGAAACGAAAGGCAAACUUUGAACAGAGUAAAAAAAUGAAGGAAAGGCUAGACGCUUUAAGAAAGGAAAACGCUUUACGAAGUAGCUAGUGUAUGUGCUUUCAUGGAAAAUGUUUCAAGAGGAAGCAUUUAACUAAUCAAACAACCAAGAUUGGGAAGACAUGUAAAUUCAUUACCAGCUAUCAAGAAAUUUGUUGCCA